rnacentral:rRNA from 1 species
UACGUAGGGGGCAAGCGUUGUCCGGAAUUAUUGGGCGUAAAGAGCGUGUAGGCGGCCAGAUAAGUCCGCUGUGAAAUCUCGAGGCUCAACUUCGAGCUGUCGGUGGAAACUAUCUGGCUAGAGUCCGGAAGAGGAGAAUGGAAUUCCUGGUGUAGCGGUGAAAUGCGCAGAUAUCAGGAAGAACACCCGUGGCGAAGGCGGUUCUCUGGGCCUGACCUGACGCUGAGGAGCGAAAGCGUGGGGAGCGAACAGG